rnacentral:rRNA from 1 species
UGACCCGUCUUGAAACACGGACCAAGGAGUCUAGCGUGUGCGCAAGUCAUUGGGAUAACACUAAACCUAAAGGCGCAAUGAAAGUAAAAGUUCGCCUCGCGCGAACUGAGGGAAGACGGUCGGUCUAUUCAGGAUCGGCCCGCAUUCCCGGGGCGUCUCAUUCUCAUUGCGAGAAGAGGCGCACCAAGAGCGUACACGCUGGGACCCGAAAGAUGGUGAACUAUGCCUGGUCAGGACGAAGUCAGGGGAAACCCUGAUGGAGGUCCGUAGCGAUUCUGACGUGCAAAUCGAUCGUCGGAACUGGGUAU